rnacentral:rRNA from 1 species
CCUACAGGCAGCAGUGGGGAAUUUUGCACAAUGGGCGAAAGCCUGAUGCAGCAACGCCGCGUGAGUGAUGAAGGCCUUCGGGUUGUAAAGCUCUGUCGCCUGGGACAAAAGGCUUCCUAACUAAUAAGUAGGAAGAGUGAUGGUACCAGGAGAGGAAGAGGCGGCUAACUCUGUGCCAGCAGCCGCGGUAAUACAGAGGCCUCAAGCGUUGUUCGGAAUUACUGGGCGUAAAGGGAAUGUAGGCGGUGAUGUAAGUCAGAUGUGAAAGCCCUGGGCUUAACCCGGGAAUUGCAUUUGAUACUACGUUGCUAGAGUGCAGGAGAGGUUAGAGGAAUUCCUGGUGUAGGGGUGAAAUCCGUAGAUAUCAGGAGGAAUACCGAUGGCGAAGGCAUCUAACUGGCCUAACACUGACGCUGAGAUUCGAAAGCAUGGGUAGCAAACAGGAUUAGAUACCCUGGUAGUCC